rnacentral:lncRNA from 10 species
UCGCAGAAAUUUCCUGGAGAAAUUGAGAAUUCCUUGGCCUUGAGGCAAGAUAUACCUAUAAGGUUGAAAUAUGAGCUUGGAGGUCACCUUAGCAAAAAGAGAUGUGAAGGAGCCCUGUAUUCUGAGGAGAGCCUGCAGAGCCAUAAGGAUGUCAGGUGAUGCUGUGCCCUUCUCUGGAUCCUGUCAGGAAGAGGUGCAGAAAGACUGUCUCAUACUGGCAAUGUGAAAUGUAUUCAGUUCUUUCAUCUUGAGAAUACUUGAAUACAUAGAUGGGAAAUAAAGUUCCAUGGAGGCAGACACAACUGUAAUCUUAAGGAACUGAAAGAAUUCCAGAAAUCCUCUCUCAAAAAAUUGCUCAGAAGUUAUACUGCUUAUGUCAGACUUAAAGUGUGAAGUUGUAAGUGUCUUUACAGUGUACAUUGGUAUGAAAUGACACUACAAUAAAACUUUGAAACACUUCCUUUUCAAUAUGGACUACAAGCUCUAAUUAACAUACAGGUUUUAAUCUGUAUUGUAUCAUCUGUAAUGCCUUUUAUUGAUAACAUGUUAAUAGUCAAUAUCUGCUUAUAAGUCACUCAUCAUAUAAGUUUGACCAAUUCAAACAAUUAUAAAUCAAGGAUUAAAUGCAUGCCUGUUUACUAUUGAGUUUAGUCAAGAUUUUCACUUGGAACAAAACAAGUGACAACUAUGGCUCACUUAGGCAGGAAAAGAAGUUUUUUACAAAGAUAGCAUGGAAUCUGCAGGAAGGGUAAAGUACCAGGCUCAGUAAUUUGGUAGGCACUGGUUGGGCACACCCAAGAUCACAUCAAAGGAAUAGUGAUCUAAAAAUGCUGAGGUUGAUACUGAUAAUCUGUAACUGGGCACCCAUUAUUAGCACUUCUGUAGUCACCAGGACAUCAUACAAGGAUUCAAUCAACCCUGGGUACUCUCAUCUCUUUUGCUCCCCUGAUCCCAAUAGGGGAAAUGUUUAGAUGUUAAAUUUAAAGCAAAAAUAAAACAAAAAACAAAGCCUCUUAGUAACAACUUAAUUAGUGAUUCAAUUAAUUUUAAAAGUUUGCCAACAUACAGGAUUCAAAUUCAGAUUGCUUAGGCCAGAAGGUACCACAUAUCACAAAUAUUUUUGUAUAUAUUUACAUAUGUAUAUAUGUUAUAUAUAUUUACAUUUAUAUGUAAAUAUGUGUAUAUGUACAUUUACAUAUUUAUACAUUUUAUAUAUACAUCUAUAUUUACAUUUAUAUAUAAAUAUAAAUAUGUAUAUUUAUAGAAGUAGCAACAACUUCAGAAAAAGAAAGGAUUGAUUUAAUAAAAGUAAGGGGUAAUAACUUUUAGUUUAAUCAAGUAAAUAUUUUGGAAUCUACAAAACUUUUUAGAUACUUUAAUAGGAAGCAAAAUCAUUUUUUAUUAAAUCAAUCAGUUUGGAAAGAAACUGUUCUCAGAUGUCUUCCUUCAUUGUUAAAGAUUGUUCUACUGAAUUUUGUUUCGAUUUUUCAACUAGUCAUGUUAACAUUACAAAUAAA